CCCUUAGAUGUUCUGGGCCGCACGCGCGCUACACUGACGAAGUCAGCGAGCAUGUCCUACGCCGAAAGGUGCGGGGAAUCUUGUGAAACUUUGUCGUGCUGGGGAUUGAUUUUUGAAAUUCUUGAUCAUCAACGAGGAAUUCCUAGUAAGCGCAAGUCAGCAGCUUGCGUUGAUUACGUCCCUGCCCUUUGUACACACCGCCCGUCGCUACUACCGAUUGAAUGGUUUAGUGAGAAUUUUGGACUGGAACUCCCUUGCUCAGCAAUGGGCGAGGGGGAGUCCGGGAAGCUAUUCUAACUGUAUCAUUUAGAGGAAGUAAAAGUCGUAACA
rnacentral:rRNA from 1 species